AAGAUGUCAGGAGAUCCGCAGGGGCUACUGGGCUCUGGACCACCUUGGACCACGAACUUUCGGUAGCCAGGAGCUGCCUUAACCUGCCUCAAGCCAGCCUGGCAUGAUCCUAUGUUCCACGAUAAAUGUCCUGCCCAGUCCUGAGGAGGUUAACAGAGGUUCAUUGUAUAUAUUUCUUUGGUAUUCUGUAGGAAGCUCAUUUCAUAACAUCUCUGCAAGGGAUUCCCACAACCAUCUACAUCUACCAGCCACCUGCUAGAGAAUUGAUCCCUCAGCCUGGGCUGGCCAAGGAGGCCUGGGACUUUCUAUACUGGCUCAGCACUGGCCAACCUAUCCUCUCUUCCUGCCACCUCUCAAUCACUGGCAUCCAUGUACACCUGUGCUGUCACAGGGGAAGCUGAGCCACCAGAGAGAAUUGCCUGGCCCUAUGCCUAAGGACUCACAAGACUUCUCUCUUAGCCCCUGACCAGCUGGACUCCUGUCUGCUCUCACCUUGAGGACCCCAGUCUGGAUCAAGGUCAUUCCUUCAAUGGCAGAAAUGGCACCAUGACUUCAAGACCUGCAGAAGCUAGUGCUCUUGAG
rnacentral:lncRNA from 1 species